rnacentral:tRNA from 1 species
GGGGCGUUAGCUCAGUUGGUAGAGCAGUUGACUUUUAAUCAAUUGGUCGCAGGUUCGAAUCCUGCACGUCCCACCA